rnacentral:misc_RNA from 1 species
UGUUUUAGGGGCUCCUGUCUAAAA